rnacentral:rRNA from 1 species
GACGUAGGGCGCGAGCGUUGUCCGGAUUUAUUGGGCGUAAAGAGCUCGUAGGCGGCUUGUCGCGUCGGAUGUGAAAGCCCGGGGCUUAACUCCGGGUCUGCAUUCGAUACGGGCAGGCUAGAGUUCGGUAGGGGAGAUCGGAAUUCCUGGUGUAGCGGUGAAAUGCGCAGAUAUCAGGAGGAACACCGGUGGCGAAGGCAGGAUCUCUGGGCCGAUAACUGACGCUGAGGAGCGAAAGCGUGGGGAGCGAACAGG